AACGCACGCGCAGAGUGACGUUCGUCGUAUCUAUUUAAACAAAGCUCGCUUUAGAGAUUGGAUCAAUUAAUAGGGACUUUGCGUACUUACGGUAAGAUCCACUAACAAUGGUCGAUAACAAAAGGCCAGACUGGAGCCUAUUGUCCCCUGCCGUAAUGCAAACGACUCGCUGACAGCGCGUUUAUAAGGGCGAACGUACGCGACGGUCGCAUUACAGUAGCGCAUCAUUAUAGCUAGAAGUCGCGACAAAAAGGCAUAACUACAGCACCACAAGACAGAGAUGUGCCGUUGGGGAUGUACGGAACACAAUUUGAUGUUCAAAUGCAAAUACUGUGGCACAAACUACUGCAAGUGUCGUGUAAGCGAGGAGAGUUCCACGGUGAGAUGGUUACCGAGACGACCUGUCGAGUCUGCAACCAGCCCAAGUGUCAAGGAGAGCGUAUACUCAUCAUUCGAACAACUACAGCGACAACCAAUCAAGCUAAAGCCAAGACAUCUAAAUCAGCGAAAAAGAAGAGCGAAAAAAACAGCAAGCCAAAGUCGUCUAAAAAAAGUCGCAAAAAAUAGAAUAAUAGAAAAAGCUUGAAAUAUCUAACCAUUCACAAAUAUUAUAGUAUAGAGGCAAUAAUUAUCACAAAUUGGAAUGUUUUUAUCCAAGAGACACCAGGCGAUUAAGUUUUUUUUAGGAGGGGGAAGAUAUGGCAAUGUGUGUAAGAUAUAACAAUGUGUGUAAGAUAUAACUCCCAAAAAUAUAGUGUGUGUGAAACGAGGAAAAUAUUUUUCCCGGCAAGGUAAUUUAUGGUUGAACGUUCCUAUAAAAAGUUUUUUUAUUUGUUCUUAUAUUAAUAGAAAUACUAGUCAACUAUUAGGAAAAAGGAGUUUGUUUAAAUAAAUAAAUACUCAGGGGCGUUAA